UACGUAGGGUGCAAGCGUUAAUCGGAAUUACUGGGCGUAAAGCGUGCGCAGGCGGUGAGCUGUGUCCGAUGUGAAAGCCCCGGGCUUAACCUGGGAAUGGCAUUGGAAACUGGCUCGCUGGAGUGUGGCAGAGGGGGGUGGAAUUCCGCGUGUAGCAGUGAAAUGCGUAGAGAUGCGGAGGAACACCGAUGGCGAAGGCAGCCCCCUGGGCUAACACUGACGCCUCAGGCACGAAAGCGUGGGGAGCAAACAGG
rnacentral:rRNA from 1 species